rnacentral:rRNA from 1 species
UGCGUGUCAUUAGCUUGUUGGUGAGGUAACGGCUCACCAAGGCAACGAUGACUAGGGGUUCUGAGAGGAUGAUCCCCCACACUGGUACUGAGACACGGACCAGACUCCUACGGGAGGCAGCAGUGAGGAAUAUUGGGCAAUGGGCGAAAGCCUGACCCAGCCAUGCCGCGUGCAGGAUGACUGCCCUAUGGGUUGUAAACUGCUUUUAUACGGGAAGAAUGGUUCCUACGUGUAGGGAUUUGACGGUACCGUAAGAAUAAGCAUCGGCUAACUCCGUGCCAGCAGCCGCGGUAAUACGGAGGAUGCAAGCGUUAUCCGGAUUCAUUGGGUUUAAAGGGUGCGCAGGCGGAAUAUUAAGUCAGUGGUGAAAUCCUGCAGCUUAACUGUAGAACUGCCAUUGAUACUGAUAUUCUUGAAUGUAGUUGAGGUGGGCGGAAUGUGUAAUGUAGCGGUGAAAUGCUUAGGUAUUACACAGAACACCGAUUGCGAAGGCAGCUCACUAAACUAACAUUGACGCUGAGGCACGAAAGCGUGGGGAGCGAACAGGAUUAGAUACCCUGGUAGUCCACGCUGUAAACUAUGAUCACUCGCUGUUGGCAAUACAUCGUCAGCGGCUGAGCGAAAGCAUUAAGUGAUCCACCUGGGGAUUACGAUCGCAAGAUUGAAACUCAAAGGAAUUGACGGGGGCCCGCACAAGCGGAGGAACAUGUGGUUUAAUUCGAUGAUACGCGAGGAACCUUACCUGGGCUUAAAUGCAGAUCGACGUUCCGGGAAACCGGAGUUCCUUCGGGCGAACUGCAAGGUGCUGCAUGGCUGUCGUCAACUCGUGCCGUGAGGUGUCGGGUUAAGUCCCAUAACGAGCGCAACCCUUAUCGUUAGUUGCCAGCGGGUAAUGCCGGGGACUCUAACGAAACUGCCGGUGUAAACCGU